GUGUGGUGCUGUAAGGAGGGGUGAGUGGGGACUUGCUGUGGGGUCUGGAGGGGCUGGGGAGGAGGUGAGGGAAGGGGACAGCACCACUGGGGUGGGAAGGAGAAUCAAGGGGCUGGAUACCUGUCGACAGUCUCCUGGGUGCUUUUUAGAAAUGUGGUGUGAAGGCAGCUCUUCUGUCUUAUAAGAUGGGGGUCCUGCUUGGAAACACUAGAGACUGGACUAGCAAUGGGAUAAAGAAAAGCUGAAAGGAAAGUAUUCAGGCAGGUCUGCUGCAUUUAUCCCCUCACCCAGAAAGGUUCCCAGGGUGAUGCAGACUCGAGGUGCUUGACCUCGUCUCCCACAGAUGGAGGGAACGGCCCAGGAACUGAAACUUCUGCCCUCACUAUGGCCUAGUGGUGGGACGUCCUGCCAGCAGUGGAGUCCUGGAGGAAGGGCACCCACCUGCAUGUGUGGUCACCGGGAGAGUGCAGCAGGCUCAGGCCCUGUAUGCAAAGCAGGAUCAGCCCAGCACAUAGAUAAGGUGUUAAUCACAGUUCUCCAAGUCCCAGAGAGUGUCAUUGUGGCUGUCCUGAUCAUUUCUUCCAGGGAGAAUGGGAGCCUGCAGCUCUGCUUGGCUUGUUUGCAAGUUUUCUCCUCUCUAGCUCGAUCCAUGUAUCCAAUGGAGUUGGUGUAUUCAGAAAAGGAUACAUUAUAG
rnacentral:lncRNA from 1 species